AGCUGCUGUUUGGAGCACAAACAUUGGAAUGAUAUUCUUGGGAAUCAAAAAUUAAAAAAAUUAAAAAUGUCCAUUAGCACCAAGGAGCUCAUGGGUUACUCCAUUAGCACCAAGGAGCUCAUUGGUUCUCCAUCUAAACGGAGGCAUGCUGCGCGGUGCUGGGCUGGCUGCACUGAGUGGGAUGAUCGUUGCUUUAGAUCAGGUCCAUUGGGCUUGCGCAGUGAAUGCUCUCAGGCAGCGGGUGCUUGGACCGCUGUUCUGCCAUUGAUGGGGUGCCGGUCGCAUCCUCUGGUGAUGGUUUGCAAAGCUUCUUGGGUGUGGGCUUGAUUAGGCGCAGUGGUGGGCUUUGCUAUUGUGGC
rnacentral:lncRNA from 1 species